AGCACCUACGUUUUUGAGCAUGUAGGAAGAAGCGCUCGCUCGCCUUGACCCAUACUGGCUUGACCAUGGAUGCGGCUGGGACAAAUACGUACAUCACCGGUGUUGAGGUCAUGGCCACUUGUGAUGUCUCCACCACGCCUGCUACACACAGCAGAAACUUGUGGAGCAUUGGUGACAGCUAUGUCCGGCGUGGUGUCCAGAGAGCUGCAGAGACCUUGGGAAGCACCCUCAGCAUGCCGGGCGUCCGUGUCUGCUGGUUUGGCUGGGGUGGACUGCAGUGGAGAGGCCUUCUCUCCUUCUUUUCCCACUCCCUGUGAGGAAGAGCAGCAUCAGAUGUCCUCAUCAUCCAAUGUGGCAGCAACAACAUGGGGAAGGUCAGCAGUGUCAAGCUGGUCAGCAUGAUGAAGGAGGACCUGCACCAGCUUCACCUCCAGCAUCCUGGCAUUAAGAUAAUAUUUUCUUCAUUGGCCCAAAGGUCCAGGUGGGAGGCUGGUGGCAAUCCAGCAAAGAUUGAUAAGGCCAGGAAAUGUGUUUACAGUGUUAUGGCUACAUUUGUUCAUAGUUUAAAUGGUGCCAUAAUUGAGCACCCUCACAUCAGACAUGACAGUCCUGGGCUAUUUUUGAAAGAUGGGCGUUCAUUUCACACCUAGGGAAAAUGAUAUGUUUUUAAGUAAAUUAGUUAAUUGUCUUAAAGACCACCUCCAAACGCAGUGAACUGCUUACAGUUGGCAGUGUCACUGCUUUUGAAUUUGGCCUUUAGGACACAUAUUGUUAGGCCUGAUCAUAGCCCAGGAUGUCAUGGCCAAUGUUGAGUUUUUUAUUUUCAUCUAUAACUUGUUUAAAAUUUCAAUAAAUUCUAUU